rnacentral:lncRNA from 1 species
UCUAUGUCAGAUCGUCCGCAGGUCAUUUUUAGCACAAACGAGGCUUGGUAAAAUGACCAUCACUUUUAGCUCUGAUGUCCAAAUUAUGUGAUCUUGAACUAUAUGGAAAGCUCGUUUAGAGAACUACACAUCCCAACUAAGUGGUGGACCAAAAAUGCAUUGGGUCACAAUAGACUCCGUCCAUUUGAUCUCAUCAAUACACUUGAUGUCAGCCAACACAUGAUUUCUAUCUUUUAACUCCUCACCACAUCAUUUGACUCUCACCAACACAUGAUGAUCCUUCAAUUCCUUUUCACUUCUUCAAAUAAUACGAUGUACUUCACCGUGUGAAAUAUAUCAUUUGCUUUCACUUCUUAUCUUUUUUGCAUUCUUCAUAAGAUUGAUGCGGAUCACUCAUAGCUUCAUAUGACUCUCAUGGUCCAUCAACUCCAAGCCUUUACUUGCCCUUCACCACUUCCUUGGUCCUUCGGCGCCAAGCCCCUUGCUUGCUCUUCACCUUUACAUGGUCCAUCGUAGCCGAGUCUUGCUUGCCCUUCACCAUCAUGCCAUACUAAAGACACUUUGUACUCCAUAUCUUCAAUGAUUUUUCCAUUCAAUACCAUUUCAUUGUAGAUCACAAACUCAUCGUGCUCAUACUUUUGAUCUCUAUUAACACACCAAUGCAUGAUGUUCAUAUUUUUCACACCCUCUCAACAAGUAUACAUCAACACAUAAUGUCUUGUUGUCAUCAAUCACAACCUCAAAUUGUUGAUCCUCAACCAACGAGAUAUCAACCCUUAUCUUGAUGCCGGAACUCAACCUAACAUAUCACUCAUGGAAAUAGUUAGUCCCGCACAUCCGGUUGUCAAUAAUCACCAAAACUCACCAUAGGACAAUGCUGAGGGGCCUAAAUCCUUCAAUCUCCCCCUUUUGGUGAUUGAUGACAGCCCGAUCACGUAAAGAGAGAUAAUUAAUAGUUGCAUCUAAUAUAUGCCAACAUUUACAUGAGUCAUAUACUAGAGGUUUGGUUUCAACUAAUGAAACACCAAUCAUAAAGUGAGCUCCCCCUUGAUAUGUGCCUAUAGAUAUAUGAAAGUGAAACAAUCAUAUGCACAUUUGAGAUGAAACUCCAAGUAAAGUUCACUCUAUGCUUGGAACCUUACCUCAAGAUUCCAAGAGUUUCUCUCCAUAUACAUAUCUCUCCC